AGAGUUUGAUCCUGGCUCAGGAUGAACGCUAGCGACAGGCUUAACACAUGCAAGUCGAGGGGCAUCAUGAGGUAGCAAUACCUUGAUGGCGACCGGCGCACGGGUGAGUAACGCGUAUGCAACCUGCCCGAUACCGGGGUAUAGCCCAUGGAAACGUGGAUUAACACCCCAUAGUACUUUUAUCCUGCAUGGGAUGUGAGUUAAAUGUUCAAGGUAUCGGAUGGGCAUGCGUCCUAUUAGUUAGUUGGCGGGGUAACAGCCCACCAAGACGAUGAUAGGUAGGGGUUCUGAGAGGAAGGUCCCCCACAUUGGAACUGAGACACGGUCCAAACUCCUACGGGAGGCAGCAGUGAGGAAUAUUGGUCAAUGGACGAGAGUCUGAACCAGCCAAGUCGCGUGAGGGAAGACUGCCCUAUGGGUUGUAAACCUCUUUUAUAAGGGAAGAAUAAGUUCUACGUGUAGAAUGAUGCCUGUACCUUAUGAAUAAGCAUCGGCUAACUCCGUGCCAGCAGCCGCGGUAAUACGGAGGAUGCGAGCGUUAUCCGGAUUUAUUGGGUUUAAAGGGUGCGUAGGCGGUUUAUUAAGUUAGUGGUUAAAUAUUUGAGCUAAACUCAAUUGUGCCAUUAAUACUGGUAAACUGGAGUACAGACGAGGUAGGCGGAAUAAGUUAAGUAGCGGUGAAAUGCAUAGAUAUAACUUAGAACUCCGAUAGCGAAGGCAGCUUACCAGACUGUAACUGACGCUGAUGCACGAGAGCGUGGGUAGCGAACAGGAUUAGAUACCCUGGUAGUCCACGCCGUAAACGAUGCUCACUGGUUCUGUGCGAUAUAUUGUACGGGAUUAAGCGAAAGUAUUAAGUGAGCCACCUGGGGAGUACGUCGGCAACGAUGAAACUCAAAGGAAUUGACGGGGGCCCGCACAAGCGGAGGAACAUGUGGUUUAAUUCGAUGAUACGCGAGGAACCUUACCCGGGCUUGAAAGUUAGCGACGAUUCUUGAAAGAGGAUUUCCCUUCGGGGCGCGAAACUAGGUGCUGCAUGGUUGUCGUCAGCUCGUGCCGUGAGGUGUCGGGUUAAGUCCCAUAACGAGCGCAACCCUUACCGUUAGUUGCUAGCAUGUAAUGAUGAGCACUCUAACGGGACUGCCACCGUAAGGUGAGAGGAAGGCGGGGAUGACGUCAAAUCAGCACGGCCCUUACACCCAGGGCUACACACGUGUUACAAUGGCCGGUACAGAGGGCCGCUACCAGGUGACUGGAUGCCAAUCUCAAAAGCCGGUCGUAGUUCGGAUUGGAGUCUGUAACCCGACUCCAUGAAGUUGGAUUCGCUAGUAAUCGCGCAUCAGCCAUGGCGCGGUGAAUACGUUCCCGGGCC
rnacentral:rRNA from 1 species